AAACCCUACCUUGAAGAAGGUGCAGCAUGUCGAGUCCUUCAGGCGACACUCCUCAGACUCCAAGUCCUAAUAUCAAGAAUCCCACACCACUCCCAACAAGCAAGGGUCUCUUUUCCUCCCGUCACCAUAGUGACUCUAAUAACCCUCCAACAUCUACUGGGACUACAAUUAUUACCACUCGGGGUACCUUUUCCACGAGUCGUUGAUCAUGAUUCAUUCCAUAUCUUUAUCAGAUUGUGAUGAACCUCGGUGCCCUUGGUAUUGGAAUAAAGGAAGAAUUAAAUAAAACUUAGUUGUUCAUUUUCUUUGUUCGUUUUGUUGGGUCCAUAUAUCUAGGACAAAUGUAUUCUGGUCUGUUAGUUUACC